UGCGUAGGCGGAUUAAUAAGUCAGUGGUGAAAUCUUUCGGCUCAACCGAGAAACUGCCAUUGAUACUGUUAAUCUUGAGUUCGGUUGAGGUAGGCGGAAUGUGUAAUGUAGCGGUGAAAUGCUUAGAUAUUACACAGAACACCAAUUGCGUAGGCAGCUUACUAGACCGACACUGACGCCGAGGCACGAAAGCGUGGGGAGCGAACAGGAUUAGAUACCCUGGUAGUCC
rnacentral:rRNA from 1 species